UCUCCGUAGGUGAACCUGCGGAAGGAUCAUUAUUGUAUAACCGAGGGGCGAGGCCCGCUGUUGACUUGACUGGUCGUGCACGCCCGAGUGCCCUGACACACAUCGAUCUCACCCCUAUGUGCACCGUCGGGUGUGUCGCCCUUUGGCUUGUUCGGUGGGGGGCUUACGUUUUCACACAAACUUUGUAUGCAGUGUAGAAUGUAUUUUUUGUUUUUGUACUUACGCAAUCGAUACAACUUUCAACAACGGAUCUCUUGGCUCUC
rnacentral:misc_RNA from 1 species